rnacentral:lncRNA from 1 species
UUCUUUUUUUUUUUUUUUUAUCUCAGCAUCAUUAUUUGCAAAAUGAUCAAGAUAAUGCCUAAGUCACAAGUUUGUGUUUGUUUGUUUUAUGUGUAUGUGUAUGUGUGAAGAUUCAAUAUGCUUAUAUAUCUACAAGACCUGCUGAAUGGUGCCUGCAACUUCUGUGACCAUUUUGCCAUGUUGGGACCAAGUGUGAAUGCAAAGUUUGCACAUAGAGGAGAACUGACCAAUCGGAGAAUGGAAAACUUCUUGAUCAUUGAUGACAGCAGUCAACCAGUGAAGCCAUCAAGCCUGGAGUUUUUCCUACUGCUGGAAUUCUUGUCAUUGCAGAAAAUCAAUGUUGUGUUCUGAUUUGGGGCAUUCUAGCUUGCAAAUAGAGGCAUCUUAGCUGACACCAAAUGCUCCCUAAGGAUAUUCCAAAGAUAAAAUUGAUGUCUUCAUUUUGAAGGGC